GCUGUAGUGGUGUAAGGGCAACAUCUGAGCUUCCCAGAACGAUCAAAUGAGUCUGCUCAGGCACCGAGUUCGAGUCUCGGCUACAGCA